rnacentral:rRNA from 1 species
UACGUAGGGCGCAAGCGUUGUCCGGAAUUAUUGGGCGUAAAGAGCUCGUAGGCGGUCUGUCGCGUCGGAUGUGAAAGCCCGGGGCUUAACCCCGGGUCUGCAUUCGAUACGGGCAGACUAGAGUGUGGUAGGGGAGAUCGGAAUUCCUGGUGUAGCGGUGGAAUGCGUAGAGAUCCGGAAGAACACCGGUGGCGAAGGCGGGUCUCUGGGCCCGAUACUGACGCUGAGGAGCGAAAGCGUGGGGAGCGAACAGG